UCCAUCACAAGGUAACCCAGGACACAACAACUUGAGGUCUCACACUCUGCUCUUCAGAGUCACCCAACAGCUGGGUAAAAAGGACAGCCCCUGUUGGGUUAAGAUGGAGGAAGGAAGAAUGCAGGGACAAAGUUGGGUUAUUUAAGACCUGUUUUCAGGUGAACAAGGGCUAUUGCCUUGCAGCAGUACACUCAGCAGGCUGCUGCCACAUCCCACAGUCCCAAAGGCUGCUUGAGCUCUUCCAGCUGUUGACACCCAUUUGAAGAGGGAAAUGGAAGCAGAAAGAAAACAAGAAGCAUGGGGAAGAAUAAACAUUCCACAGGACAUCCUUUGGGAACCAGUACCAGAUACAGGCUCAGGAUGCCAACAGGAAUAAAGUCAGCACUGCCAGGUGUGGCUGCUCAGAGCCCUGUGCAACUGACCAGGGAAUGGGACUGGAGCAUCACAAAGGGUCCCCUUCAACAUCAAUUACUCUGUAGGAAAGGAAUCAGAAAAUAGCUGUAUACUCUACUAGCUAAUAAUAGUGUGCUUUUUG